rnacentral:rRNA from 1 species
CCUACGGGUGGCUGCAGUAGGGAAUCUUCCGCAAUGGACGAAAGUCUGACGGAGCAACGCCGCGUGAGCGAAGAAGGUCUUCGGAUCGUAAAGCUCUGUUGUUAGGGAAGAACAAGUACGGGAGGAAAUGACCGUACCUUGACGGUACCUAACGAGGAAGCCACGGCUAACUACGUGCCAGCAGCCGCGGUAAUACGUAGGUGGCAAGCGUUGUCCGGAAUUAUUGGGCGUAAAGCGCGCGCAGGCGGUCUUUUAAGUCUGAUGGGAAAUCUUGCGGCUGAACCGAAAGCGGUGAGUGGAAGGUGGGAGUCGUGAGUGCAGACGAGGGAAGCGGAAGUCUGUGUGUAGGGGUGAAGUGCGUAGGGAUGGUGAGGAAAACCAGUGGCGAAGGCGGCUUUCUGGUCUGUAACUGGCUCUGAGGCGUGAAAGCGUGGGGAGCAAACAGGAUUAGAUACCCUUGUAGUA